rnacentral:misc_RNA from 1 species
GAUGAAGAACGUAGCGAAAUGCGAUAAGUAAUGUGAAUUGCAGAAUUCAGUGAAUCAUCGAAUCAUUGAACGCACAUUGCGCCCGCCAGUAUUCUGGCGGGCAUGCCUGUCUGAGCGUCAUUUCAACCCUCAUGCCCCUAGGGCGUGGUGUUGGGGAUCGGCCAAAGCCCGCGAGGGACGGCCGGCCCCUAAAUCUAGUGGCGGACCCGUCGUGGCCUCCUCUGCGAAGUAGUGAUAUUCCGCAUCGGAGAGCGACGAGCCCCUGCCGUUAAACCCCCAACUUUCCAAGGUUGACCUCAGAUCAGGUAGGAAUACCCGCUGAACUUAAGCAUAUCAAUAAGCGGAGGA